rnacentral:rRNA from 1 species
AACGAACGCUGGCGGCAUGCCUAACACAUGCAAGUCGAACGAGAUCUUCGGGUCUAGUGGCGCACGGGUGCGUAACGCGUGGGAAUCUGCCCUUUGGUUCGGAAUAACAGUUGGAAACGACUGCUAAUACCGGAUGAUGACGAAAGUCCAAAGAUGUUAUCGCCAGAGGAUGAGCCCGAGUAGGAUUAGCUAGUUGGUGUGGUAAAGGCGCACCAAGGCGACGAUCCUUAGCUGGUCUGAGAGGAUGAUCAGCCACACUGGGACUGAGACAAGGCCCAGACUCCUACGGGAGGCAGAAGUGGGGAAUAUUGGACAAUGGGCGAAAGCCUGAUCCAGCAAUGCCGCGUGAGUGAUGAAGGCCUUAGGGUUGUAAAGCUCUUUUACCCGGGAUGAUAAUGACAGUACCGGGAGAAUAAGCUCCGGCUAACUCCGUGCCAGCAGCCGCCGUAAUAC